UUCGGCUGAUUUCUAAGAUGGACAGCGGCGAAAGGGAGAGUAAUGAGUGGAUUACCUACCCCCAGGACCGGGAUAGCUGUGGGAAACCGCAGGUAAUACCGGAUAAUAUCUCCGGAUCAAAUGGUGAGAUUCCGCCAGGGGAUGGGUCCGCUUCCUAUUAGCUUGUUGGUGGGGUAACGGCCUACCAAGGCAACAAUGGGUACCGGGUGUGAGAGCAUGGCCCGGCUCACUGGGACUGAGACACUGCCCAGACACCUACGGGUGGCUGCAGUCGAGAAUCUUCCGCAAUGGGCGAAAGCCUGACGGAGCGACGCCGCGUGCGGGAUGAAGGCCUUCGGGUUGUAAACCGCUGUCAGUUGGGAGGAAAUCUAUGGGGGUUAUCCCCCAUAGUUGACCUAUCUUCAGAGGAAGGACGGGCUAAGUUCGUGCCAGCAGCCGCGGUAAGACGAACCGUCCAAACGUUAUUCGGAAUCACUGGGCUUAAAGGGUGCGUAGGCGGCUUGGCAAGUUGGGUGUGAAAUCCCUCGGCUCAACCGAGGAACUGCGCUCAAAACUGCCAAGCUAGAGGAAGAUAGAGGUGAGCGGAACUAAUGGUGGAGCGGUGAAAUGCGUUGAUAUCAUUAGGAACACCUGUGGCGAAAGCGGCUCACUGGGUCUUUUCUGACGCUGAGGCACGAAAGCUAGGGUAGCGAACGGGAUUAGAUACCCCGGUAGUCCUAGCUGUAAACGAUGAGCACUAGGUUGGAGGCUCCUCCAUAGUUUCCGACCGAAGCGA
rnacentral:rRNA from 1 species